rnacentral:rRNA from 1 species
ACGGAGGAUGCGAGCGUUAUCCGGAUUUAUUGGGUUUAAAGGGAGCGCAGACGGGUCGUUAAGUCAGCUGUGAAAGUUUGGGGCUCAACCUUAAAAUUGCAGUUGAUACUGGCGUCCUUGAGUGCGGUUGAGGUGUGCGGAAUUCGUGGUGUAGCGGUGAAAUGCUUAGAUAUCACGAAGAACUCCGAUUGCGAAGGCAGCACACUAAGCCGUAACUGACGUUCAUGCUCGAAAGUGUGGGUAUCAAACAGGAUUAGAUACCCUGGUAGUCCACACGGUAAACGAUGGAUACUCGCUGUUGGCGAUAUACUGUCAGCGGCUUAGCGAAAGCGUUAAGUAUCCCACCUGGGGAGUACGCCGGCAACGGU